rnacentral:rRNA from 1 species
GACGAACCGUCCUAACGUUGUUCGGAAUCACUGGGCUUAAAGGGCGCGUAGGCGGGUUCCCAAGUCGGUGGUGAAAUCUUUCGGCCCAACCGGAAAACAGCCGCCGAUACUGGGAGUCUUGAGGGAGGUAGGGGUCGAUGGAACUUCCGGUGGAGCGGUGAAAUGCGUAGAUAUCGGAAGGAACGCCGGUGGCGAAAGCGAUCGACUGGACCUUUUCUGACGCUGAGGCGCGAAAGCCAGGGGAGCAAACGAG